rnacentral:rRNA from 1 species
UGCUUGAGAGUGGCGAACGGGUGAGUAAUAUAUCGGAACGUGCCCAGUCGUGGGGGAUAACGUAGAGAAAUUUACGCUAAUACCGCAUACGAUCUAAGGAUGAAAGCGGGGGAUUCUGCAAGGAGCCUCGCGCGAUUGGAGCGGCUGAUAUCAGAUUAGGUUGUUGGUGAGGUAAAAGCUCACCAAGCCGACGAUCUGUAGCUGGUUUGAGAGAACGACCAGCCACACUGGGACUGAGACACGGCCCAGACUCCUACGGGAGGCAGCAGUGGGGAAUUUUGGACAAUGGGCGAAAGCCUGAUCCAGCAAUGCCGCGUGCAGGAAGAAGGCCUUCGGGUUGUAAACUGCUUUUGUACGGAACGAAACGGUCUGCUCUAAUACAGUGGGCUAAUGACGGUACCGUAAGAAUAAGCACCGGCUAACUACGUGCCAGCAGCCGCGGUAAUACGUAGGGUGCGAGCGUUAAUCGGAAUUACUGGGCGUAAAGCGUGCGCAGGCGGUUAUAUAAGACAGUUGUGAAAUCCCCGGGCUCAACCUGGGAAUUGCAUCUGUGACUGUAUAGCCAGAGUACGGUAGAGGGGGAUGGAAUUCCGCGUGUAGCAGUGAAAUGCGUAGAUAUGCGGAGGAACACCGAUGGCGAAGGCAAUCCCCUGGACCUGUACUGACGCUCAUGCACGA